AACGAACGCUGGCGGCAGGCUUAACACAUGCAAGUCGAACGCUCCGCAAGGGGAGUGGCAAACGGGUGAGUAACACAUGGGAAUGUACCUUUUGGUUCGGGACAACAGCGGGAAACUGCUGCUAAUACCGGAUGUGGUCUAUGGACGAAAGAUUUAUCGCCAAAAGAUCAGCCCAUGCCUGAUUAGCUAGUUGGUAGGGUAAUGGCCUACCAAGGCAAUGAUCAGUAGCGGGUCUGAGAGGAUGAUCCGCCACACUGGGACUGCGAUACGGCCCAGACUCCUACGGGAGGCAGCAGUGAGGAAUAUUGGACAAUGGAGGAAACUCUGAUCCAGCCAUGCCGCGUGAAUGAUGAAGGCCUUAGGGUUGUAAAGUUCUUUAAGUGGGGAAGAUAAUGACGGUACCCACAGAAUAAGCACCGGCUAACUUCGUGCCAGCAGCCGCAGUAAUAC
rnacentral:rRNA from 1 species